AGAGUUUGAUCCUGGCUCAGGAUGAACGCUAGCGGCAGGCUUAACACAUGCAAGUCGAGGGGUAUAUUUCUUCGGAAUUAGAGACCGGCGCACGGGUGCGUAACGCGUAUGCAAUCUACCUUUUACAGAGGGAUAGCCCAGAGAAAUUUGGAUUAAUACCUCAUAGUAUUACGAAAUGGCAUCAUUUUGUAAUUAAAGUCACAACGGUAAAAGAUGAGCAUGCGUCCCAUUAGCUAGUUGGUAAGGUAACGGCUUACCAAGGCUACGAUGGGUAGGGGUCCUGAGAGGGAGAUCCCCCACACUGGUACUGAGACACGGACCAGACUCCUACGGGAGGCAGCAGUGAGGAAUAUUGGACAAUGGGCGCAAGCCUGAUCCAGCCAUGCCGCGUGCAGGAUGACGGUCCUAUGGAUUGUAAACUGCUUUUAUACGAGAAGAAACACUCCGACGUGUCGGAGCUUGACGGUAUCGUAAGAAUAAGGAUCGGCUAACUCCGUGCCAGCAGCCGCGGUAAUACGGAGGAUCCAAGCGUUAUCCGGAAUCAUUGGGUUUAAAGGGUCCGUAGGCGGUUUAAUAAGUCAGUGGUGAAAGCCCAUCGCUCAACGGUGGAACGGCCAUUGAUACUGUUAAACUUGAAUUAUUAGGAGGUAACUAGAAUAUGUAGUGUAGCGGUGAAAUGCUUAGAGAUUACAUGGAAUACCAAUUGCGAAGGCAGGUUACUACUAAUGGAUUGACGCUGAUGGACGAGAGCGUGGGUAGCGAACAGGAUUAGAUACCCUGGUAGUCCACGCCGUAAACGAUGGAUACUAGCUGUUGGAAGCAAUUUCAGUGGCUAAGCGAAAGUGAUAAGUAUCCCACCUGGGGAGUACGUUCGCAAGAAUGAAACUCAAAGGAAUUGACGGGGGCCCGCACAAGCGGUGGAGCAUGUGGUUUAAUUCGAUGAUACGCGAGGAACCUUACCAAGGCUUAAAUGUAGAUUGACCGGUUUGGAAACAGAUCUUUCGCAAGACAAUUUACAAGGUGCUGCAUGGUUGUCGUCAGCUCGUGCCGUGAGGUGUCAGGUUAAGUCCUAUAACGAGCGCAACCCCUGUUGUUAGUUGCCAGCGAGUCAAGUCGGGAACUCUAACAAGACUGCCAGUGCAAACUGUGAGGAAGGUGCGGCUGGAACACCUCCU
rnacentral:rRNA from 1 species